rfam:Triticum aestivum genome assembly, contig: Triticum_aestivum_CS42_TGACv1_scaffold_436796_5DL
AUCCUACUCCCUCCAUCCGGAAAUACUUGUCAUUGAAAUGGAUGUAUCUAAAUAUAUUUUAGUUCUAGAUACAUCAAUUUUCAUCCAUUUUGAUGACAAGUAAGUCCGGACGAAGGGAGUAUUUA